rnacentral:lncRNA from 1 species
AUGGUUGAUCGGACCUGUUGGAGUGGUUGAACUGCCGGCCGUGGUGGGCCUGGGGUUCGUAGACAGCAAGUGCAUUAAUUGCUGAGUGAACCGGUGAUCAGGGAGAGCCAUACGCUUUGAUAGUCUAGUGAUCCGGAGAUCAUCUUGAGCUGUGUUCAUUUAAUGGUUGAGUGCAUUGGAGACCCGCAGGGGUCAUACGCAUUAAUGAUAGGACGUGCCGAAAGCCUGCGGAGGUCACGUGCCUUAAUGGCUUGACGACGACAACAGAAU